AUUUAUAUAGUAUAAAAAGUAUAUAUGACUUCCAAUCAUAAAGUUUAUUAUUAAUAAUAAUAUAAAUA
rnacentral:tRNA from 1 species